rnacentral:siRNA from 1 species
CGUUGUGGCCGUGGAGACCU